UUGGAGGGCAAGUCUGGUGCCAGCAGCCGCGGUAAUUCCAGCUCCAAUAGCGUAUAUUAAAGUUGUUGCAGUUAAAAAGCUCGUAGUUGAAUUUGGGUCUGGCCGGGCGGUCCGCCCUCCGGGUGAGCACUGUUCCGACGCCGGGCCUAUCCUUCUGGUGAGUCGGCAUGUCCUUUGUUGGGUGUGUCGGGGAACCAGGACCAUUACCUUGAAAAAAUUAGAGUGUUCAAAGCAGGCGUAUGCUCGGAUACAUUAGCAUGGAAUAAUGAAAUAGGACGCGUGGUGCUAUUUUGUUGGUUUCUGGAGCCGCCGUAAUGAUUAAUAGGGAUAGUUGGGGGCAUUAGUAUUCAAUUGUCAGAGGUGAAAUUCUUGGAUUUAUUGAAGACUAACUUCUGCGAAAGCAUUUGCCAAGGAUGUUUUCAUUAAUCAAGAACGAAAGUUAGGGGAUCGAAGACGAUCAGAUACCGUCGUAGUCUUAACCAUAAACUAUGCCGACUAGGAAUCGGGCGAUGUUAUUCUCAUGACUCGCCCGGCGCCUUAUGGGAAACCAAAGUGUUUGGGUUC
rnacentral:rRNA from 1 species